UCGGGAAUAUUGCGCAAUGGAGGAAACUCUGACGCAGUGACGCCGCGUAUGGGAAGAAGGUUUUCGGAUUGUAAACCAUUUUAGACAGGGAAGAAACAAGACAGUACCUGUAGAAUAAGCUCCGGCUAACUACGUGCCAGCAGCCGCGGUAAUACGUAGGGAGCAAGCGUUAUCCGGAAUUAUUGGGUGUAAAGGGUGCGUAGACGGGAAAGUAAGUUAGUUGUGAAAUCCCUCGGCUUAACUGAGGAACUGCAACUAAAACUGUUUUUACUUGAGUGCUGGAGAGGAAAGUGGAAUUCCUAGUGUAGCGGUGAAAUGCGUAGAUAUUAGGAGGAACAUCAGUGGCGAAGGCGACUUUCUGGACAGUAACUGACGUUGAGGCACGAAAGUGUGGGGAGCAAACAGGAUUAGAUACC
rnacentral:rRNA from 1 species